rnacentral:rRNA from 1 species
UUUAAUUCGAAGCAACGCGAAGAACCUUACCAAGUCUUGACAUCCCGAUGACCAUCUAUGUAAUGUAGACUCUCUUCGGAGCAUCGGUGACAGGUGGUGCAUGGUUGUCGUCAGCUCGUGUCGUGAGAUGUUGGGUUAAGUCCCGCAACGAGCGCAACCCCUAUCUUUAGUAGCCAGCGGUUUGGCCGGGCACUCUGGAGAGACUGCCAGGGAUAACCUGGAGGAAGGUGGGGAUGACGUCAAAUCAUCAUGCCCCUUAUGACUUGGGCUACACACGUGCUACAAUGGCGUAACAAAGAGAAGCGAAAUCGCGAGGUGGAGCAAAUCUCAAAAAUAACGUCCCAGUUCGGACUGUAGUCUGCAACUCGACUACACGAAGCUGGAAUCGCUAGUAAUCGCGAAUCAGAAUGUCG